AGCGAACAGGAUUAGAUACCCUGGUAGUCUAUGCCGUAAAACGAUGAGUGCUAGGUGUUGGAGGGUUUUCCGCCCUUCAGUGCCGCAGCUAACGCAUUAAGCACUCCGCCUGGGGAGUACGACCGCAAAGGUUGAAACUCAAAGGAAUUGACGGGGGCCCGCACAAGCGGUGGAGCAUGUGGUUUAAUUCGAAGCUACGCGAAGAACCUUACCAGGUCUUGACAUACUAUGCAAAUCCUAGAGAUAGGACGUUCCCUUCGGGGACAUGGAUACAGGUGGUGCAUGGUUGUCGUCAGCUCGUGUCGUGAGAUGUUGGGUUAAGUCCCGCAACGAGCGCAACCCUUAUUAUCAGUUGCCAGCAUUAAGUUGGGCACUCUGGUGAGACUGCCGGUGACAAACCGGAGGAAGGUGGGGAUGACGUCAAAUCAUCAUGCCCCUUAUGACCUGGGCUACACACGUGCUACAAUGGACGGUACAACGAGUCGCGAAGUCGUGAGGCUAAGCUAAUCUCUUAAAGCCGUUCUCAGUUCGGAUUGUAGGCUGCAACUCGCCUACAUGAAGUUGGAAUCGCUAGUAAUCGCGGAUCAGCAUGCCGCGGUGAAUACGUUCCCGGGCCUUGUACACACCGCCCGUCACACCAUGAGAGUUUGUAACACCCAAAGCCGGUGAGAUAAC
rnacentral:rRNA from 1 species